rnacentral:rRNA from 1 species
AGCGAACGCUGGCGGCAGGCCUAACACAUGCAAGUCGAACGAAGUCUUCGGACUUAGUGGCGGACGGGUGAGUAACACGUGGGAACGUGCCUUUAGGUUCGGAAUAACUCAGGGAAACUUGUGCUAAUACCGAAUGUGCCCUUCGGGGGAAAGAUUUAUCGCCUUUAGAGCGGCCCGCGUCUGAUUAGCUGGUUGGUGAGGUAAUGGCUCACCAAGGCUACGAUCAGUAGCUGGUCUGAGAGGAUGACCAGCCACAUUGGGACUGAGACACGGCCCAAACUCCUACGGGAGGCAGCAGUGGGGAAUCUUGCGCAAUGGGCGAAAGCCUGACGCAGCCAUGCCGCGUGGAUGAUGAAGGUCUUAGGAUUGUAAAAUCCUUUCACCGGUGAAGAUAAUGACUGUAGCCGGAGAAGAAGCCCCGGCUAACUUCGUGCCAGCAGCCGCGGUAAAAC